UACGUAGGGAGCAAGCGUUGUCCGGAAUCGUUGGGCGUAAAGCGCGCGUAGGUGGCCACAUAAGUCCGUUGUGAAAGUCAAAGGCUCAACCUUUGAAAGCCGAUGGAUACUGUGUGGCUAGAGUACGGAAGAGGCGAGUGGAAUUCCUGGUGUAGCGGUGGAAUGCGCAGAUAUCAGGAGGAACACCAAUAGCGAAGGCAGCUCGCUGGGACGUUACUGACACUGAGGCGCGAAAGCGUGGGGAGCGAACAGG
rnacentral:rRNA from 1 species